ACAGUGGACGCGAGCAUCUGUGGCCAAGUUUUUAAGGGCGCACGGUGGAUGCCUUGGUACCAGGAACCGAUGAAGGACGUGGGAGGCCGCGAUAGGCCCCGGGGAGCUGUCAACCGAGCUUUGAUCCGGGGGUGUCCGAAUGGGGAAACCCGGCAGUCGUCAUGGGCUGUCACCCGCUGCUGAAUGUAUAGGCAGUGUGGAGGGAACGCGGGGAAGUGAAACAUCUCAGUACCCGCAGGAAGAGAAAACAACCGUGAUUCCGGGAGUAGUGGCGAGCGAAACCGGAUGAGGCCAAACCGUAUGUGUGUGAUACCCGGCAGGGGUUGCAUGUACGGGGUUGUGGGAUUGCGCUUCAGUCGUCUGCCGGCGGCUGGGUGAGUCAGAAACCAUCAUGAUAGGCGAAGGACAUGCGAAAGGUCCGGCGUAGAGGGUAAGACCCCCGUAGCUGAAAUCGUGGUGGCUCACUUGCGUUAUUCCCAAGUAGCACGGGGCCCGAGAAAUCCUGUGUGAAUCUGGCGGGACCACCCGCC
rnacentral:rRNA from 1 species